CGUGCCACGGAAUCGGGUGCUCCAAGUGGGCCAUUUUUGGUAAGCAGAACUGGCGAUGCGGGAUGAACCGGAAGCCGGGUUACGGUGCCCAGUGGCGCGCUAACCUAGAACCCACAAAGGGUGUUGGUCGAUUAAGACAGCAGGACGGUGGUCAUGGAAGUCGAAAUCCGCUAAGGAGUGUGUAACAACUCACCUGCCGAAUCAACUAGCCCC
rnacentral:ncRNA from 1 species